rnacentral:lncRNA from 1 species
AACGUGAACAAAAUCUAAUUUACCCUUUUAGUUGGUGCUCCGUUCCCAAAUUGAGCUUUUAUGAUUUUAAAAGUAUCAAAUCAUUAAUACUUAUAAAUUUUUGGUUUUUGGUAUGAAGAUUUGUAGGUUAAAAUAAUAGUAAUUUCGUAGAGGUUGAGUGAAUAGUUGGUGUAAUAGUAUAAUUUAAGAGAUAAAAUUGAUUAAAGGAAUAAAUCUAACGGUUGAAAACUUAUAAGCACUAAAUGUUUUGCGCUUUUUACUAUAGCCGAACUCUCUCUCUCUCUCUCUCUCUCUCCAUUUCUCUCUCUGUAUAUAUAUAUAUUUGCUGACAGUAAAUGAAUAAUAUUUGUUAUCAAUUUUUUUUUCCAUCCCCAAAUGGUAAAUCCUCAGCAUUUAAAGAUUGGAAAAUAGAUGGGGAAUAUUAUUCUCUACUAUCAAUAACAUUCUUUUUUUUUUUUAGUUAAAUUUUUUUUUGGUAAUACAUUGCAUGGGUAUAUAUUUUUUUUCUUAAUUUAUUUUCACAUCUUCUACUAUGUAUUGGGGGCUGUCCCAGAAGUACAAAUGGCAUUUACACUUUCCUAUACGAAUCCUACAUCAUCAGAGCUUAAAAUUUUGAUUUUUACAUUGAAAUUAAAUGCACUAAGAUCGGAGUCUUGGUUAGACAAUUUAGGGAGUGUGGUAAGGAUAGUUCAGUAAACUGAAACUUCUAACUUACUGUACUGGGGCUUUAACAUGCAUUUAUUUGUCACAUUUAUCUUUUGUUCAUCAUAUUUAUCAUCUUACCAAGAAAAGAUACAUGCAUUCACACACUUAAAAAUUUCAUCAUUCUAAAUAGAAAACGUAUGGAUUAUUCAAAGAGAAUCAGACAAUGCAUUAUGUUAUCUGUACUAUAACAUUACUGAGGAUGUUUAAUAAUACAAAAUUGGCACCAUAUAGGGACUUGCUUAACUUGCCGCGACUUAAUUUAACUUGUAAUCACCAAUUUGAAGCCAACAAAACAAUGAGUCCCUCAUUCCUAGUCCUGCAAAAUCAUGUCAAUUACAAUCAGCUUAAAGUUGCAGCUAAAUUCUAUACAUGGAAAUCCAAAUAAUUAAGGCAUACCAAAAAUGCAGGAUGUUCAAGGAAACAAUGGCUGGUAAUCGAGCCCCAUGUUCUCCGGAAAACCCAUCAUCAGAUUGAGAUUUUGUAGUGCUUGGCCAGAGGCACCUUUCACUAAAUUAUCAAUCUGCAUAGGAUUGCAGCAUAUAUUUAUAUAUAGACAAAAAUAUCAGAAAUAAUACACCAGAAGAGGUGAGCAAAUUUUACUGUUUGAUGAUAUUUGACAUCUGAAAAUAUACAUACAACAGAGAUAAUAAUCGCUCUGCCGGGAAUCCGAUCUUCAAAUACGUUCAUGAAGCAGUAAUUCGAACCCCGAACAUGGCGCGUGUGAGGAACAACUCCUCUUUCCAGUAACCUGACAAAUACUUCAUCCUGAAGGGAAUAUUGGCAUUUAAUAACUGGACUAAAAACAAGAAAAGAACAUGAAGCAAGUAAAGAUUCAGCAGAAUUAUACAAUGCUUCUCUUCAUAACAUUUCAAAGGAACAUACCUUGUAAGCAGACAAUAGUUCCAGGUAUAAAUCAUCAGUGGUCACCCCAGGUGCCAUUUCGACAUAUAUGGUUGAUUGCAUUCCACGGCUCUAUUCAACAUCAAUGUAUAAGACAUGUUAAAUAUAUACGACAUAGCGCAAGAUAGAAUCUGUUAAACAAGCUUAACUAGGAGAUUAGUAAAAAGAAAAUUUACCAUAGGCAUUAGGUGCGGGGUGAAGCUCACGGUCACCUUAGAAUGUGAAGCGUCGGAAAGUCCUUGCUCAAUCUCAGGAACUGGCAUAGUAAAAGGAUUAACAUAACAUCACGAAGUUCAAUAAAAGCUAUAUAAACAUGAGCUAAUAAAAAUAUAAUGUGCCACAUGGAAGCAAAUAAAUAGGCCGAUCAACACAUAUUAAAGAGCUGAAUAUAAAUGUUGAAUAGUUACGAAACUAUCAAAAUAGCAAUGGAAGUUCAGAACCAUGGCGAUGCUUGGUAAUUCCAUAAGAGUGAAGGCCUUCUGAAACUUCGGUGUAAAGAUUUGCCUCCUUAGCUCCACGCCCUAAAAUAUUUAUAUUUUGAGUGUUACAAGAAUACAAGGUGUUCAACGGAUGCUGAAAUAUAUACAAUCUACUAAAUAUUUUCUAAAACAAGCCGUCAGAAUAUGGUGCAUUCAGACCUGCUCCGCUGACCCCAGAUUUGGCAUCAAUAAUGAUAUUUCUCAGUUCAAUGAGGCCUGCCUGAAAUAAGUUACAUAAGAGAGAAAAAUAUGAUAUAACAAGUGAAAUGUGAAAAAAAAUAGAUAAUUUCUUCAAUCUCCAAUAAAACAUUUACAUAAGAAAGAUAUAUCUAGUUAGUGUUAUGGUGCGAUUUAACUAAUUUCUGCUCUAAAAUUAAAAAUGAGAGCUUAAAAGAGAAUGGCAGAAUGUUAAUAUUCAAACAAAGUCCACUACUCUAUGCUGCGGCAGAGCACUCAAAAGUGUUUCAUUUUUAAAAAAAUUGAGCUGGAUAUGUGGCCUACUACAAAUUGGUUUAAAGCUAGAAUGUAAACUACUAUACAUUGAUCAACAGACGUACAUUGCUUGAGAGAAAAUAGAGUUCAAACCUUUAUAAGUGGAACAAGAGGAAGCUGAAUGGAUGUGGGAUAACAUCCAGGAUUUGCGACAAGCCGUGCAUUUCGUAUUUUGCCUCUCAAAACCUCUGUCAAACCAUAUACAGCUUCUUUCUAUCCAAGUAAAAACAAAAUCACGAGAAUGUUCAAAAUGAUCUCGGCUGAAAAUUAGAUACCAUCCUACUAUUUUUCAAUAGAAUCAUUCUACUUUGUUGUGCUAUGAGUGCCCAAAAAGAAAAGAAACAAUAAAAAAAACCAGCCUUAUGUAACAUAUUUCAUCGUAUAUGGACCAACCUACUUAUAGACUUAAUCCGCUACGUGCAAUCAAAGUAAAAAUCAGGCAUUAAAUAUGGACCAACCGACAAAUCCACGGUCGAAAAAUGCAAUAAUAUAGCUCAGUACCUGUAACUCUGGUGCUUUAUGUGGCAAGCCAUACCACUCUUCAUAUUCAUUUAUGUUACUCAGCCGAAAAUCCUGGGAAAAUGUUAAAUAAAUUAUAAGAUUCAUUUUUCCCCAAAAUUGAGAUGUCAAAGAUCUCCUUGUGUGCAUAAUCAGAUGUUCGAAUAAGUACUAUAAGUGCACCCAAUGCAUACUGCAGAGAGAUCAACAAUCUUCAGCUGCUUAGGAAGGCUUUUAAUGAUCUCCUGCAAGAACAAAUUUUUAGAGUUAGAUGUAAUUAAAAGGACGAAUUUUUAAAUCUUCGAAUAAGCAACAUUUCGAGAGUGAAUUAGAUGCAAAAGAUACCUGUGUUGUUCCAUGCGGCAAGCAACAGAAUACAGCAUCAACAUUGGAAAAAUCUGCAUCUUUAAUUGCAACCAUGGCAGGCAAGUCCUGUGAAAUAAAAAGGCAAUCAGAGAUAAGCAUGUCCUUCGAACCUAACAAACAUUUGCUCGUACAUAAUGAAAAGUUUCUUUAGCUACAAAAUACUAAAUUAUAUCUAUUAUGGAGUAUGAAAACUUACUUGUGUCAUUAGGUGGGGGAAUACCGAUCCAAUCGGUUGACCAGCUUUUCUAUCAGCAGUCAUUGUUGUGAUACCAAAGUGUGGAUGGUUUGCUAGGAGCCGAACAACCUGUUUAUGAAAAUAUACAAAUAGUGAACCAUGAGAGAGAGAGAGAGAGAGAGAGAGAGAGAGAGAGAGACCCAUAUCACAUAUAAUGUUGAAAAAGUUAGUCCACAAAACAGAUCCACGAGAUAUAUAGAUGAUUUGUCCAAAAUUUGAGGAAACUACAUUAGACUCCUAAUGUUAGAUAGUGUAACCUUGUAAGUAUGUCUCAGGGUCCAAACUACAUUAGACUCCUAAAUUCCAUAACUACGAAACUUCAGCUCAUUUAUAGAAACCACAUAUUAGGCACUGAAAUUGAAGGUUGGAAAAAAAAAAAAAAAACACAAAGGUACAAUUUUAACCACAACAAUGGAAGAGAAUCGGUAGUUCCUAAAUAAGUUGAUUACAGGAACUCCACAAAUGAUAACUAAACAAUGAAGCAAAGCCACAAUUUACAGUUCUGUAGAGAAAAAGGAUAAAAGAGAUCUCUGAUAAGUAAUUUUGUAUCAACUAAAUGUCACAGUUCCAUGAUUCCAUUCUCUUCGAACUAUAGUGGAAAAAUAAGUAAAAUUACCACUAAAAGAUGAUGCAGAAGAAGAAACCAUACCUCAGCUCCAGUAUAACCACUGGCACCCAAAACCCCAAUCCGAACCGAUUUCUCCGAAGCAUCGAUCUUCUCCUUCGUAGACCGCAAGCUUUGCGGCGACGAAGCCACUGAUGCUCUCACACGGAGAAGAGAACCAUCGCACUGCCUUGAAUUCGAGCUUAGGGUUCCAUGCUAUGAUCAAGAUCAAAUUUUUAGCUUAAAAAACCCAACUUUUUUUAAAAAAUUUCUCUGUCUAAUUGCUUCUCAAUGAAUUAUAGCUCGAAAAAAUGCUCACCUUGCGAAGCCACCCGGAGUUGAAUGAAACGGAUCCAAAUGUCGUCGAGCUCAUUUCCCUCAACUAGAGAAUUGUGGUGCAAAAAAAAAAAGGAAAAAAAAAAACAACAAACCCUGGAAAAUUGUGAUCUCAAUGAAAGAAAAAGGACAAAAAUAUGAUUUUGAGAUGGUAAAAGUGAACGGAGAGGAGAAUAUGUAACCGAGAUAGAUCGUAGAUUUGCUACCUCCCUUCUCAGAGCGAAGAGUGAAGGGGUUCGCUUUGUAGGGCUCUAGGGAGCGAGUAAUAAUUCCUUGAUGCACCAGGUGGACCGUGCACCUCAACCUCAAACCUCAUUAGAUACUGCUUGGUGUAUGAGAUAUGUGUUAGUACACCAGGCGCAGAUGAAAUUCUCUCUGGAUCAGUGAAAGCCUUGGGUCCAAUUUUGUGGGCCCAUGUUGGCCCAGUACUGUCAUAGACCGCACCUAAAUUACCCGGCCCAUAAACUAACCAAAUCUGUAGAAUUUAAUGCCUGCACCUGGUGUGUGCAUUAUAUUUCAUACACCGCGCUACAAAAAUUAUAGGGGAUCGCAAUAUCAAAAUUCAACUCAGCACUUACAUGUGGAUGAAUUUUGAAAACCUGUAUAUUUUAGAACUAAUAAUAUUUCCUUUAAUACUAUUGAUAUUUAAAAUUAUUUCAGCAUAAUUAUUAUUAUUAUUAUUAUUAUUAUUAUUAUUAUAUUUAUUUAUGAUAUUUAUCGAAUUUUUUUUGUUAUAAACUGUACUUGUGCACCUGGUGCAUGCUAGAAUUUCUCCGUCCCCUUCGAUUUGAAGUUUCGAUUUUCGAACCCCUUCCGCUCUCUUCCCCCCAGUUCUUCUUCGUCUUCUUCCUCGUCCUACUUCGGCCUCUCCCUCCCAUGGCGAAAUCGGAGGAGUGGGGGCUCGGCGACUUCGACAUCGGGAAAUGCAUCGGCGAGGGCAAGUUCGGGAAGGUCUACCUCGCCCGCGAGAAGCAGGUUCUCCUUCUCCCUCCUCCUCCUCCUCCUCCUCCUCCUCCUCCUCCUCUUCUUGAUUUCAUGGUGCUCACCCCACGACCCUAAUUUGAUCCAUAUCCGAGAGCAGAGCGGGUAUGUAGUGGCCAUCAAGGUGAUCUUCAAGGCGAAGCUCGACAAGUACCGGUUCCACGCCCACCUCCGCCGCGAGAUCGAGAUCCAGCACGGCCUCGACCACCCCAACGUGCUCCGCCUCUUCGCGUGGUUCCACGACGACACCCGCGUGUUCCUGGUACUAGAGUACGCCGCGAAGGGGGAGCUCUACAAGCUCCUCAGGAGCCUUCGCCAUUUCUCCGAGAAGAGAGCCGCCACGGUGGGUUUUUUAUUCAGAUUCCCAAUUCUAGGGUUCAGCUCGAUUCGAUCCUUCUAUUCUUAUGCCCUUUGCUGUUAGGGCUUUCAGGGCUAAUUAGGGUUUUGCUUAUGGACAGUAUGUUGCGAGCCUAGCCGGGGCACUUGCUUAUUGCCAUGAGAAGCAUGUGAUUCAUAGGGACAUCAAGCCGGAGAAUCUCUUGCUGGACCUUGAGGUUCCUGUUUCCUCUUAUUCGUCUUUUCUGAGAUUGUGCUUGGUUUUUUUUCUAAUUUCCUUUGUUGGAGUGAUUUGCCUGGUUUUGAUAUGAUAAUUCUUUAUGUUUAGUUGCUGAACUCAGUUAGUUGUUUUCUUUUUAUAGUUCUUGAAAUGCAGGGAAACAUGAUUCCUUCCGACUCAAGUUGGGUUCUUCAUAGACUAUAAAAUGCGUACCUACAACAGGAACUUACUUUUUACAUGAUAUAUUAGUAUGGAAUGCUAACUCAACAUAUGGAGAAAUGCACAACAGUAAUAUUAAUAUAAACGGUUGCUAAUCCAACUCAUAGCCAACCAUAUGACACUUUUUUACCAAACUGGGUCUUAAUUGACCAAAUUACUGUAUGCUUACUGGUUCAACCCUUGCACUUUAAUAGUAGAACUUCUAUACCAAUCAGGAUUUUUCCGUAGAUAAAGACCUUGUAUUUGUGGAUCUGAAUCAUCUGAUGAGCUAUAUCUUACAGAGGCAUUAAAUGCUCUGAAUAGCUCUUCUAGAUCAACUUAUGUGGCUUGAACUCAUCAGGAUGGUUCAAAUUAUGUAAGUUUCUAUUCUGAAUGCUUACUUUUAAUUAGGAACAUUGUAUAAUACUAAUAUAGAAAUAUCAGUUUAAGAACUAUCAUAAUCCCAUUAUAUAGCGAUCCCUGUAACUGACAGUUGAAUAAACUUUUAGUAUUUUGCAGGGUCACUUUGAUUGAUCCUAAUAGCUUAGUAUUUUGCAGGGUAGACUUAAAAUUGCAGAUUUUGGAUGGGCAGUUCAGUCUAAUUCUAAGAGGCACACCAUGUGUGGUACCAUCGAUUACCUUGCACCGGAAAUGGUGGAGAAAAAAGCACAUGACCAUGCUGUCGAUAACUGGACUCUAGGCAUCCUUUGCUAUGAGUUUCUCUAUGGUGUUCCCCCUUUCGAAGCUGCUGACCAAUUCGACACAUUAAAGAGGUAAAUAACCUCACUUGGUAAUAUCAUCUCUUUAUUUAUAUUUUGGUGUUUAAUGAACUUCAACUUUUACCAGGAUAUUGAAGGUGGAUCUUAAAUUCCCUUCCACUCAUUAUGUUUCUGCUGAAGCUAAAGACCUUAUUCGCAAAGUGAGUUUAAUCGCAUCUGUGUUUUUCUAAAAAUGUUGAAAUUAUGUGGUUUCCGUGUGUCUAAUUUUGGUUAUGCAGCUUCUAGUCAAGGAUUCAUCAAAGAGGCUAUCUCUUCAAGAGAUCUUGAAGCAUCCCUGGAUUGUCAAGAAUGCAGACCCUUCUGGCACUUGCAGUGAGUAAAAGGUCUGUUUUUGUUUCCUUGUUCCAUUUUUCUUUUCUUUUUUUUUGCGGUGGUUCUUAAGAGUGUGCAGAGGGUAUGUUUGUAAAAGCACAGCAUCUUAUAUGCAAGAAUGAUGAGAUGAGAACUCUGUUGAGUAGCUCCUUCAGAGAUUACUGUAAUAUCAUUAAUAUUUACUGGAUUUAGCCUGUAACUUUGUUUAUGGUGAUCUGUCUCAUUUCAUUUAUGAUGAAAAUUGUACAUAAUUAGUACUGCAUAUCAAGCAAGUUUAAAGUUGAAAAUAAGGUUUGAACAUGACAGACAUCACUUGUUUUUUUAGCUUGUUUGCUUCCCAUUAUCACCGUCGUCUAGAAUUCAGGAUUUGGCUACAAUUUAAAAAUUACCUCAUAGAGUAAAAAUUGGUUUAACAGAGGUCAAAUGGGGCAGAGUCAAUACAUGCUGUUUCCUUAAUCCUUAAAAAUUGAAAAUUGAUUUAAGGACCUAAUCAUUUCAUUCUUCACUCUGUGCACUAUAUGUAUUUAAUUUUCUGUAGCAGUUGUUUAAUUUUUAUCUUUUCUUGCUAGUCGGAAUAUCUGAGAUUGCUAUGCAACCAUCUAAUCCCACUUACUGUAUAAUUCCAUGGAAAAGAAAGAGCCCAUGUAGGUGAAAAUGGCAAUUUACUGCUAUGGUCGUGGUACCCUCCCCAUCCUUCGCAAAAAAGAACAGCAUCUGACUCCCUAUCGAACUCGACAUGUUUCUCUCAUUAACUCUACCUUUAACAUGGACUGUUUAUGAUAUACAGUUGGAGACAACCACCAAAGUGAAAAGGGUGGUAGGAGAGCAAAGAAUAAUUGCAUUAUAUAUAAUAUUUGAAAGAAUACAACAACAAAAAACUCAACGGAGUUUCCACUGAGAUGCUAAUCUCUCUGGCUAACUUGAUCCCUCGGGAUACCGUUACAGGUUGUCAGCCGAUAGCUAACAAGUGUUAUAUACAACUACACUUCCAUUCCUCGGGCAUUAAGAAGAUAUUUGUGGAGAACCGCACAUACUCUGUGAUCUGUUCUCCUCAACCUUUGAGCAAACUGAUGAGGAUUCCCACCCGAGCUCGGACAAACGCAAUUUUUCAUGUGAUAGUCUGCACUGCAAAAGUUAUAUUUCCUGAUGUCAGCAAAAAUUGUAUGCACUGAGAGCCACAACUGCCGACCUACAAGAUCUAAUCGAAAGAAAUAUUCUGAUAUGUUUGCUGCUGAAAAUUUUUUGAGUUAACAUAGCAUUUGUACUCUGUUGCACUGAUUUUUGACUUAUUUUUCAGUUGAAAAUAGUAUACCUUCAGUUUUAAAUCAUGCACUUCAUUCUCUAGUGAAGUAAUGCGAUCCUUUAGCAGAUUAAGUGCUUCUUCUGCAGCUGAGACGUUUAUAUUAUUAUUGAAAGCUGGCGGUGUUAGUCCAGCAACCUGCAAAAAUAUCAUUCGAACCAUGUAAUUGUUUAAAUCCUCCCGAAUUUGCUCGAGAAGCCAACUUUUUAACAUAAUAGAAAAAUGCCUGAUAUGACCUUUAAACAGCUGGUACAUAAACUCAGUAGUUUCUGUGCCAGUUUGAGUCUCUCCUCUUCGCUUUCCUGUUAAUGAACAUGUGGCAAUAACGUCAAGACUUUUACCAUCUAUAAGGCUUUAGCAUCAGUGUGGGUUCAUUUGUACUUAAGAAAGUAUACGCACUUCUAGUUUCUUCUGCAGUUGCUCUUCCUCGUCUAUGUCAAUAAAUGGGCUUUUGCCAUUGGCUGAUCUAUAGCAAGCAAGCUCUUCUUUCACGCGAACAAGAAUACUUUCUGACCUCCGCAGCUUUUCACUUAGUUCUUCAUUCUGUAGCUUCAAUAAGUUAUUCUCUUCCUGUUGAAGUGUAACAAAACUAACUUAGGCAACGAAAAAUAUGUAACUGCAUAUUAAUCACUUAGCAGAUUAGAAACUCAAAAUGCAAUACCUUAGUUUUAGCAUGAUGGUGAAUACGCAACUGGAGAUUUUGCUGGCUAGAGAGCUUUUUCAGUUCAUCUUCAAGUUCCAUGAUCAUCUUUUUGUAGUUUACAUUGUCAGCCUAGCAAAUUUUUUUAAGUGAAUUUAGAAUAAACAUAUUAAAUAAAGAGGAAGAGAACAAGAUGUCUUAAGAGGGUGCUGCCAAAACCUUCAACAUUUCAUUUUCAGUGGCAAGGAACUGUUCUCGCUGCCGAAGCUUUUCUGCUGAAAUACGAGCAGCCAUCAUUUCUGCGUGUUUCUGAUUUAUCUCUUCAAUCCAACUAUAAGAUUAAAAUUGCAGUUAUUUGAAGCAUUCCAUUUGCUAAAGGGGGUUAAAACUAACAGAAUAUUCUGAAGAUGUAACAGCAAAUGCAAUCUACCUUUGUCUCUCCUCAAUGAAUUCAUUGAGCUGCUUCUUCAGCCUGACCAUCUCUUCCACCUAUUUAAUGUGUAAAGUUAAUAUAUAAAGAGCAACAAAGAAGGAAAAUUAUAUAGUUUUAUUCUGAUCUCACGAAACGUACAUUCCCUUGGGAUUCUUCACAGUUGAAAAGAGCCGUAUCUUUUGUCUUUGGCUUUUGAUGGUUCUCUAAUAAUGACUAGCACAAAUGCAGGUUAAAGCAACAAAAAAUAUAUAUGAGCCACAUUUCAAGUUAUGAGUUAAAGAUGCUAACAGAUAGAUAAAUCAGAACUGUAAAAAAGCUUCUAAACUUACUGCAUAGCUUGUCAUAUCCAACUUGACCCCUAAGAGAUCACGAAUCACAUCAUGAGUCAUGCUUUCUGCGGCUGCUAGUCGAGUGUUCAACAUAAAGAUCUGGCAAUGAAAGCACAAUAUUGAUAACAAAUCCAUGACAAUCAAGUAUUUGAUGAUUGGUAUUUGAUGAUUGCCAUUGUUAAAGAGAUAGUUACACAUGUCGCUACAAGAUUAUGUAUUUACAUGUGUUCCUACAAAUUUUGAAUUUUCAUAUAUUCCUUUUAAAAUACUUUGCAACAAAAACCCAAGUGAAUUUGUCAUCUCCCCAAAUUAUGAUAACCGUAGUUUUCUAAGAAACUACACGUUCGAGGGGUAUAUAGAACAUCAGAUUUUACAGCAGCACAUACAUAAAAAGAUGAUUUGUGUGAUUUGUAUGUAAAAGCCUUUUGAGAAAUUUGUAAGUUAAACAUGUCAGAGGUACAAUACCUCUUUUUGCCGGCUCGCAGCUAAAGCUUCAAGUUCCUCUAUCUGACGCUUUGCUGCAGUAAGUUCCUCAUCUUUCUCCGAGUUCAUUUGUUGUACUAAUCCCAAGCCUAUACAUUUAAAUGGGGAACCUGAACCCCGAGGUUUCCCUACACUUUUCUCUGUUCUGGUCGAUACUAUAUUUAAGGAGCCUGAUGAUGUGGCUUCUGUCUUAACUUGCUGCGCCAUGGCCUCCAAUUCCUUGAACUGGUGCAGGAUUUCAAAUUUUAUUAUUAGCAGAGAGCGGAAAGUAGAAACUAAAAGUUAACUGCCUCUUUUAGUGUAAUCAACAUCAUUUUCAUAGAAGCAAUGGUACCUUCUGCUUGUAUUCUCUUGCUUGUGCCUCUGCAUGCAUGUUAAGCUCAGAGAUGUGUGCCUUGCAAUUGGUAAUCUGUACAAUAACAGCAAGGCAUGGUCACACAUAGUUAUCUACAUGAACACAUGGUUUACACAGAAAAGCUUACAUAAAGUGAUGCAUCACCCAAUCAGAAGCUACAAAUUCAGUUUUUUUUGGCAAGUAUAGACAACUCAUUUCAUGCACAAGGAUGUGAGUAACAAAAAUAGAAUACAAGAAUUUUACGGUCCUAUAAGGAACAAUGGACUAUAUAUUUAGGUAGCAAUAGUAAAUGGCUUUGAAGGUGAGAGCAGUCAUAACCAUCGACAACAAGAUUGCUAAAAUCAUUGUGAUAUUGAUUCAGCAAUUAGAAUAUUUACUGAACCACCAUUAUACUAUUUUUAUAUUCCAAUCACACCUCUGCAUCCUUUUCAGCAAGUUCCUUCUGAAGAAUUUGUAUGCUUUGCUGGGUCUCUAGCAGUUCACUAUUCUUCUCUUCAUAAUUCCUGUGAUGAAACACUCCAUGAGCAAUUGUACUUUGUUGCCUAACCUAUGUCUAUAUAUUCUGUCGUGGUAUAAACCUGGUCAAGUCAUUCUUAUCAGCUCCUACAUGACUCCAGUUUCUCGACGGUACUGUGAGCAUUUGCUGUUUCACUUCCUGAAGCUCCACUUCCAGUUCUUCUCUCUGCAGCCUCUGUCUUUCAGCUUCUGCUUUCACGAUAUCCACCUUAAAGAAAAAGCAACCCAAAUCACAGCUGGAACUUGAAGGUCAAAAGAAUCAGAGCCCAUAAUUUACAAAACAGAUCGAGAAAUGUUCACCUUGUUUUCCAGUGCAUACACAGUGCACUCAAGCUCCUGGAUAGACCCCUCCAAUAGCUUAAUCUCUUCUUCCUUUUCUUCAGCAUAGGCCUUCUUCACCUCUGCAAUCUAUAAACCAGCAUAAAGGGAAUAACACGCGAACAAUGGUAGAGCAAAUUUUUGGAAGUCUAUUAAUUAGGCUUUUAGGCACCUGAUGAGCUUCAGUGGCAAUAGCUUCAUUCUCUUCAGCAAGAGCAUGUGCCAUUUCCAAAUUCUCUUUCAACAUAAGCACCUCAGAAUUAAGAUGAUCUCGCUCCUCUGAAAGUUUUAUAAGCUUGUCCUGCAAAUCUUCAAGAAAGCAAUUUCUCUGACCAUGCAAAGUGCUCAUUUCAAAUAACUCUUCUUCUAGCCUUUCAGCAACCUUAAUUUUAUUUGCGAGCUCUUCCUCUAUAGCAAUUUUCAACCCUUUAAUGUGUUCUAAUUGAGAUUUUAUCUCAGAUUUUUCUUUGCACACUAAGUCCAAAAUACAAAUCUUUUCAGCAAGUUCUGACUCGAGAGAAGUUAUCCUUUCACUCUUCUCUAGUAACUCAGCUUCUAGGAGCAAUUUAUCAGAAAUGGCCUUCUCAAGUAGAGAUGAUUUAGCUUGGAGUUCAAUUUCCAAAGAUUCUAAAGCAGCAGCCAUCUCUUCUACUUCUUCCUCUUGGUCUUUUGCAACUGAUGCUGACUCCUGCAGUAAACUCAGAUCAAAUUGUAGGCCCGUUAAUACUUCAUCUUUCCUCAUUAAAUCACACCGGAGGGUAUAAUUCUCAGAGUUCAACUCCUUCACAGACAGUUCGAUGAACUUUAACUCAUUAGCAAAGUUAGAUACCAAAUCUUUUUGUUCAAAAAGAUCUUUAUGAACUCUGUCCGACAUCUGAUCAAUAUGGUUAUUAAUGCUGUGAAAAAUUUUGUCCACUAUCAUAUCCACAGAUUGAGUUAAACCAAAGCUGUUACUAACAAUUGAGUUGAGAACCACAAAAGCUUCAUCAAAUCUACCCAUGAUCGUCAAUAUCUCUUGUUUCAAUGAAUCAUUCUCAGAUUUCAAAGCAUUUGUUCUCUUGAAAUGAGUGUCAAUCACUUUGUUUUUUGAAUCAAGCUCCUUAGAUAUUACUGCAUGAGAAAGUAUUACUUCUUCUAGUUGUGCACUUUUCUUACUCAAAUCCUCUGUUAUUUUGGCAUGGCUUUCUUUCAGCUUAUGCAGAUUGCUCGUCAAUUUUUCAUUUUCUAUAUGCAAGGAAUGCAUUUCACUAGUUUUCACAUCCAUGUCUAUCUUGCAUAGAUUUGCUUCUCUCUUCUUUUUUUGAAAUUCUUCACAGAAUUCAUCCCUUUGUUUUUGUAACUCAGCUAUUUGUGGAGCCAUGUGAUGAAUAUGAGCAACUUUUUCCUCCACCUCAGAUGCCAUUACGAGCAACUCAAUGUCCUUUACUAACAAAUUGGUUAUUAUCAACUCGGUAUGAUAAUUUGCUAAAUUCUUGUAUAUAUCAAAAUCAAUAGAAGAUCCAAUACAAGUAGCGUCCAAAAGGUCCUUACUUUUAGAAUCAGAAUAAGAAUCAUAGAUGAGAAGAUCAAAAUCUCGCCCUAAUGAGUCCCUGAACAUUUCAUUAAUAAUCAAAGCUUUUUCCAGCCGUUGACAAAGGUCUUCCUUUUCCCUUAAUACUGAUGUUAAGACAUUCCUCUUAUUAUCAUCAAGCUCUUUCACCAAAACUGAAAGUUCAUUGUACAUGGAGUUUGACCUAGCGAACAUCGAUUCUUCUUGCAACUGUAGAUUAAGAAUUUUCUUCUCAAAUGAAUUCAACCUAGAUUUAAAUUCUGCCGUCUCAUCUUCCUUCUUUGAUAUACGAGAGAAACUGUUAUUAAUGUCAACCAGGAGCUUCCCUUUGAGAAUACUACACAUUUCGAGUUCCUUUUUAGAUCUAAUGUUGUGUUCUCUCAAGUUGAAAAUUACAGAAUUAGAUUCCGACAACCCUUGCUGGAGGAAAUUUUUCUCAGCAUUAAGCCCAGUAAUUCUUUCCAACAAAAUUCCCAUAUGGCAGAGAUGUAAAAUUGAUAUUGCACAGUCUUUUCCAAUGAUUUCUGACCAAAUUUCCUCUAACCAUGACCUUGCAGAGCCUGUGUAGUGUUCAAGCUGGGACUUUACAUAUUCAACGUCACAAGCUACAAGUUUGAAUUUAUCUACAAGAGAAGUUUUUAUAUGCAUAAAGCAAUCCUCUAGAUCCAUAACUAAAUUCUUUAUUUCGACGAAGUUUGAUUGAAGUUCCUUCUCCAUAAACUCAUAUUCUUGUUCCUUCCUACUGAGGGAAGACCGCAAGCUCUGUACCUCAUCUGUUAAGCUAUUCUUUUCCUGGUGCAAUGUUGUUUCAUUUUGCUGAUACCUUUCUAUGUCGAGUUUUGCAGUUUCAUUUGCUUUUACUAAUGCAUUGAUCAUAAUGUCAGCAUCUCUUAUAGUUUCUUGGGUCUCCUCGAUUUUAGAAAGAAGGCUUGAAGCCUCAAAUGUUUUUUGGGCUGCAAUGGCCUUUGCAUCACUAAUCUCAAGCUCAAGUGCCUGAUGGGAAAGAAGAGCUCUCAAAAGUUAGAUAUGGACUCCUAACUUAAUUUUGUUGAAGUUAGAUUGAAAAAGGCAAUGAAAUUAAGAAGUGAUGAAAUGGUUGGUGAACUAGCAUGAAGAAUUCUGAACUUGCAAUUAUCAAAUCUGUGUACAGAUAAUGGGUUUACAUGAGAUUUACAAAUAUUUGAUGUGUCAAUAAGAACUUCAAAGGAAAAGGUCUGAAACUACACACAAUCAAAUGCACUCAUUACCCAAGACACAAUCCUAUCAUUUAGAUGCAUACAGAUAUUAUACUAAGAUCCUGCUUCACAUUAAAUAUGAUUGACUUGACCUAGAACUGUUAUAAAGUUGAGGCAUGGCAUAACUUUAUGUGGAUAAAUAUAUAUAUAUAUAUAUAUAUAUAUAUAUAUAUAUAUAUAUAUAUAUAUAUAUAUAUAUAUAUAUAUAGAGUCCAGCUAUGGUGCUUGUAAAAGCACCAAGCACGUGGUGUUUGUAAGUUUUUUACAGUUAGAUUUACUUCACGGAUCAUUUUCAGCCAUUAGAUUAUACUAUUUAACCAACCACCCACUCAACCCUAGGGGGCCCACAUCAUCCUAACCGCAUAUCUUUUAAUCCAAUGGCUAAAAAUCUACAAGUACCAAUGUCUUGGUACUUUUAAAAGCAUAGGAGCUCAAUUCUAUAUAUAUAUAUAUAUAUAUAUAUAUAUAUAUUACAAUAUAUAUAUUACAAUACAGCAAAAAUUGCUCUCUUAUCCUCUGUUGAACUUUCAGAAGAGAAUAAAAUAUUUGGUAGAUUGUCUGUACAGUAACUAUGAUAUCGUACUACUAGUGACUUGCCAAAACGUCAAACAGAUUAAUUCUAUGGGUACCCUGGAUAUACCAAUUGCAGUUGGCAAAUGAGCUUUCCCAACUUGGCAGAGAGCUGGUGGAGUGGUAGUUCAAAUUUUAAGAAUUAAAGCUCAGGUCAGCUGCCAUGAUUGAAAAUUUGUUAUUUGUCUCGUUAACUGCACUUGGGUUGUAUUCUUAGUAACCGUAGGCUGUAGAAGUACUAUAUAAAUGAUAAAGAGAGAAAAAUUUAAAUAUUAAAAAUGAGCAGUAUUCCAUAAAAUAACUAUUUAAAAAUGAGAAGCUGUAUUCCAUAAAAUAACUAACUAAAAGCAACUGAAACAGUAAUCAUAUAACAGGGCAAGGUUAUGGGACUUAUAUAGCAUUGGUAUGAGACGCUCUUUAAGCCAUAUAUAGUAGUGUAAGUCCAGAAAGCAUCUCUAAAAAAUCUUACCUCCUUGGUUCUGUGCCAGCAUUCUUUAAAUGCUACAACAUUUUUCUCCACAAUUUCGAGCUUACUUUCCAACUGCAUCAUACGAGUUCCAAAAAACUUUUCUUUGUCAGUAAUUUCCGACAUCAGUCGAAUGACUUCUGCAGAGAAACAAUCAAUCCUUGCCCUGUUCUGUAUCUCUGUUCUCUUUUGUUCUUCUUUGUCAUUUAGUAGUCUAACCUUUUCAGCUUGUACUGCCUCUAGGUUGUCAAGUGCAGAUUCUAAUUCAUUCCUUAGAAGGAGAAUGAUAGAACCUCUAUCAUAAGAAACUUUCAUACCAUUUUCGGCCAAACAGUUUGUGCUACCACCUGGCACACACUCAAGAUUACUCUUCAAUGUUGCAUCGUCUUGAAAUUCAUGAUCAAACUGCCAAAUGAAAUAGAUUACUGUUAACAAGAUAACAAGUUUUGAGUCCGGCCCUAAUUUUAAUUUAGCAAAUUAAAAAAAGAGCACCUGAGCAGUAGAUUAUACAAAAGAGUGAAAAGAGGAUUUGGACAUGCUAAUAAUAAAGUUCACCUUACUUGACAGAUAACAAAAGCAUCAUCUUACCUUGUCCUCAGCGACGCUGUCUUGUUCAUUCAUAACAUUCAUGCUUGACUGUGGCACUCUCAUUUUUAGCUCAUUUACCACCCUCUUUGAUUUCAAAAGAUCCUCCGCUAUUUUUGAUAACGCUGUAUCUUCUUCUUUCUUCUUCAGUUGUUCCAAAGCUAGUGUUUCUUCCUGCUCCUGAGAUUGUUUUAAGAGUUCACUAAUUAAUUCCCGAUUUUUCUCCAGUUGUGUUUUCAUACAGUGAUGUUGAUUUUCUGAAUCAUUGUGCAACUGAAUAUAGUAUAAUAGAAGAACCUCCUUCUCCAUAUUCAGUUGAAUGGAUUCAUCAAACAGGAGACUUAUGCCCUCCUUCAGUUUAAUACUGUCUUCUAAUUUACUUAAAGUACAUUCCCUUUCAGAUAACUGUGAUCUCAACAAACGAAUUUCCUUUUCUUUAUCACUAUUUUCCUGCUGUUGUGCUUCAGUGAUAGCCAAUGUUGCUCCUCUUAAGGACCUCAAUUUCCAUUCCAAGUCACAUCUUAUGCUCUGUGCAUCCUCCAAGCCCUUUUGAAGCUCUUCAAUCAAUUCAUCCUUUUCGGAGAUACUUUUGAUCAUCCGCCCAACCUGCUCCCCAAUCCAACUCCUUUGAGGACAUGAUUCCAAAAUAGAAGCAAUCUGAUCAGAAGCUUCUUCAAGAGCCACAUUUCCAUCUCCAAGAACGUCUGCAAUUUCAUGUGCUAAUCUCUCGCAUUCUUCGGACAGCAUUCUAAUAUCAUUCUCCCUCUCCUCAACUAGCUUUGUAAGCUUUUCAUUAUCUUCUUCUGCCAAAUUUAGCUUUUCGAGAAGCACUUCUCUCUCAUUUUCCAACUCUGUCAGACUUUGCUUAGCUAACAUCUCAUUUGUAUUGCUGGCAUCAACUUGCUGUUGAAGAGUUAAGAGCUCCUCCUGUAAGCAAACAAUCACCUCAGCUGUUUCAAUCUCAACUUGUGUACGAACUUCUUCCAUUUCUCGUUCAAUCGAUGUCUGUGAUGCUUGAUCACUUUGGUGCCUCGAAUUCAAAGUACGCGCCUUGUCCAGUGAGGCUUGCAUUCUUUUCAGCUUGACUUGCAAAGGCGAAUCCUCAUUUUCCAAUUUAAGUGAGUGGCCUUUUGGCUCCCCAUGUUUCUUCAAAAGCUCUCCAUUUUGGAAGGUAUUCUCCCUUAGCCUUUCUAGCUCAUUGAUCAAUAGAAUGUGUUGUGAUUCAAGAGCUUCAAUGACAGAUCUUGCAUUAUGCAGUUCACACUCUACGACCUCCUGCUGCCUGCUGAAUUGUAGUGCUCUUUCAUUUGCUACUUUGAGCUUAUUGUCUACAUUACUAGCUCUUUCUUCUGCUUCUAUACGAGUUGUUUUCUCUUCUGCAAGAAUUGCUUUGAGUAUAUCCAACUCCAACUGCAAAUUCAGAAUUUCCUCAUUUUGCUUCAUUGUGUCUUCAUGUGAGCAUAAUGCCAUCUUUUCACAUACUCGAGGCUCUUUUGGGGAUGAAUAUGAACACAACUCCUGAGAUUGUAGUAUACAACAUACAGGAAAAUCAUUAAAGCUUCUAGUUCUAUAUGUUAUCGGAAGAGUAUAACAAGUGGAGAACGUAAUACCAUAAAAGGAGGAUUGUAAUUCACAUCCUGGCUCGCAGUCUUAGCGUUGCUUAAUUCUGUACGCAGAUCAGUUAUCUCCCUGCAAGGGAAUGGGUCAUUUGCUCAAGUGAUGAGAAAAAUUGGUUAAAGAUGAAUCCAAAUACGAAUAAAUAGUCGAAGUUUAUUUGAAACUAAGACAGCAUGGUUACCUUGUGAGCCGUUCAUUUAUUUCUAAACAUGACUGUAGAUUAUUUCUGCAAUUCUCUAACUCUUGGGAAGUCCUUGUCAACUGAAAAUGUAUAGAAAUUGUCUUAGAACAGACGUCUAUGAUAAUGCAUGUUGUGCUGGAAAGGGAAAUGGAUAGGAAGUACUUAUAAGAUCGUCCUAUGUAAACAGACAAGUAAUACCUCUCUAGACAAAGAUUCAUUUUCACUGAAGGCACAACCAAAUUGAGGGUGUCUACAAUCCUGAACACAUAAAAAGCCUCUCAGUCAAAAUAGAAAUUUCCAGAGUAAACUGCAAAAAAACAAAGAAUUGUUACAUAAAUUCUACCUGGAUGACCGAAUUUGAGAUAGGUUGUUGAUCAAGUUCAGACCGCCCAUCAAGGAUCUGUAUGAGCUGUAAAAACAUGACAUGAAUAGCUUGUUAUUCUCAAAAUGCUUACCAGAAAAUAUCCUAGUAGAUUAUAUAUAUAUAAAGACCAAGGUUCAUUUGUUUUUCUCUUAUAGACCUGAUUGCGCAAAUGAGAUACUUCAUUUGAUAGAAUUUCCCUCUCUCCUUCUUCAUAAAACUCCUGGAACCUAUGAGCAUACAAUUAAUUAUAUUGUUAGAUGAUGCGAUACAGGUUUAAAUUUCCUGACAAAGCCAGAUACUACCUUCUGAGUUGGUCUAAAAGCCUGAUAUUUUCUAGUGCAAAACGAGUCACUUCUGGGUUCCUAUCAACUCUUGCUCGAAGCAGCUGUAUCUCUUCAGACAGAGCUUUGUUCUCUUCAAGCAAAUAUGUGUCUGUUGCUGUUUCACCAUUUAGAAGGGUCUCCAUUCGAUGAAUCUUAUCUUCUCGAAACUUAAGCAUCAUUUUAGUGCAUCGUGUAUCCUCCUCUCUUUGACGAACCUAUUAGAAAUGUAUUGCCAAAAUUAGUUCCUGAUAAAAAUGGUGCAGUAAAAUUUCACCGAACUUCUUUCUUAUAAUAAAAAAAUUACCAGACGGUUCAGCUGCUCAAUUUCAGCUUCUAAUUGCUUAAUAGUAGUGUCUGCCAUCUUUUCCCUUCGCAAUGCGCCAGCUAACGUUGCUUCCAGUGAUUUCAACUGCAGUAUACAUUAGAAAGAAUUAUUGUAUAACUUUCAAUUAAGUGCCAAAUAACAAAAAAUAUAUUCAAUUAUAUACAUGAAUAGUUUACCUGUUUGUUUGAAACUCUUACACUCUGCAGAGACUCAUUGCUCCAUAAAUCCUCAGCAUUCUCUUGAGCCAGUUCUGGUAAUCCUUCUAUAGCAAAAGCAUUACAAAAUUCACCUUCGGAAUCCUCGAAGAUUGCUGUACGAAAUGAUAGAGAUCUUGAGACAUUUUGACGCUUCAAUACUGCAAGUUCCUCCUGAUAAAUGACCUCUCAUUCAAUUUUGCUAUACAGAUGGUUAAAGUCUAUAUAUGAAAAUAUAUGUAUGAUCUAAAAUUUGCACACAACCUUCAGGAGGCGUAUCUGAUGCUGUAGAGCUAGUAUAUCUCCUGAUGCGUCUUCAUUCACAACAGCCUUGAAUUUGAAAAGGGAAACAAUAAAUUGAACCAGUCAGAUAAAGUGAGAUUUUUUUUCAUGUAAAACAACAAACUUAAUAUGCAAUAAUUUAGAAGUGGAAAAGUUACAUUGUUCUGAAUGAGUCUUGCACGCUGAGCAAACUUGAGGGUACUGAGUGUUUCACUAGCAGAGCUAUGAACAACAGGAAAGAGUAAUUACAUGAAACAUCAAGAACACUGUAACAUGGCAAAUGAUGCAGCGAAGAAGGUAGCAGCUGCCUACCAAAUUGAUGGACUGACAUUUGCAAUAAUCAUCGUCUUUGAAUUGCCACCAAGUGAGUCCUGUAAGAAAUACAAUCUUUAAUUGGCAACCAGCAAACGGUGGAUUUUUAAUUCAAUAAAUUGAAUAACUUAAAGCUGUUACAUACUUGAAGAAGAAAUGUCAGUCUUGAGUCCCUAUAAGGAACAUGUCUUUGCUUCCCAUUAGCCAGAUCAGCUAGAAUCAUUAUUACGUGACUGAAAUUAUAUAAAUCAAACAUCAGAUGGGAAUUUUGAAUGAAGGGAAAUGUCUUGAAAUGGACAAGUUUAGUACUUUCAAGAAAGAAAUAUAUUAUUUUUAUACCCGAGUGUUGAUAAGGAUUUAUUAAUACUUGCAGCUUCCUUUAGACGCUCUCCUUCGGCACCUGAUGUCUUUUGCCUAUAUAAAAUGAAUACCCCAAAAGUUCAGCCUUAAUCAAAUAUCCUAUGGAUUACACCAUUUUUAAGUUUUACCUUUCUGAUCCAGCUAAAUCUACAAGGUUUAGUCUUGCAAAUCUUAAAUUAGCAGUUGAAUCCUUCUCCCAUCUACUCUCAAUGACACAAGUAAAGACACUGUGCGAGCGGCUACUUUCGCGAUUCAUAUUUGUUGCUGCAACUUUUCUAUUCGCAGAUCCCUGAGAAAUUUAGAUGGUGAGAGCAACAGGGCUUAAGUUGCCGAAACAAAUUAGGUAAACACAAGAAUUAGAUACACAUGUACCUGGAUAAGAAGUUUCAGAAUGUCAUUCACGCUUUCAACUUGAUAUUCAGUCAGAUUUUCAACAUACACACCUUUCCUUAUGUCUUCUCGCAACUGCUCAGAACAUGUGACAUUCAUAAGUAACAGCAUUUUCAUAGGCAUAACAACAAACUUUUCUCAGAAGGCAGUUUAAAAACUUACAAGCAGAUUAGCGGAUGAAGGAUCGAGAAGAUCGGUGAUUUGUUCAUUGUAAAUCUCCAAAAAGGAACACUUACAACUAUAUUUGAGCUUCUCAUCCCUUCUGCUUUCCUCCUCCUGAAGUUCAAACGGCAAAAGCAUUACAACCAGCAAAAGAUUGAAUAUUCUGACAUUUCAACUGAAGCAGCAAAGCAUGUGUUGCGAGUAACAUUGUCAACAGAAGGUAUAAUAAAAUCAAGUGUAUAUUUAAUAAUACAUUAGAUUUUGAAAUAUUAGGAAAAAUUGAUCUUCUAUGGGAAAAAUUACAUCUAAUCUAUAUUGAAGUAUUAAUAAUUGUAUAACCUCUAACAUGUAGAGAGAUGAAUUGUUACAAAAGACCUCAAAGGAAGUGUUCUUUUACCGCUCUGAUUCUUGCAAACAAGAAUUCAAAUAUACGUGGGGUCAUUCCACGAUCUAGGCUAGGCCUCACUUCCAAUUCACCAAUUUCACCAAGCAUCGUGUAUGUUUUCCCACUGCCUGUCUAAAGACACAAAAAUAAAAGUUUGAAUACAAUAGUAUUCAUAAUUAAAAAGGACUUGAGCUUUUCUGGUCUAUGAAAUUAUCUUGUUAUCUCUUACUGCCAAACUCUAUAAAAUGGAAUCGUCAAAUAUGCUGAAGGAAUAGAAGAAACGUUUAGAAGUACCUGGCCAUAAGCAAACAUGCAACUGUUGUAGCCUGACAUACAAUUCUCAACCAUCGGCAAACCAGCCACUCGAAAAAGCAUUUCCUGCAUGUAUAGGUUGUUAGGCCUAAUCAGCUGACUAAGAAAAAACACGAGGCUGUUCUUUGUCAUGAGGACUCAGACCUGGUUCACUGAUUCGCAUGCAACAUAGUCAAAUGUAAAACGGGUUUCGGGUUGUCCGAUCCAUGUAAUACACUGCGCAUUUUCCUGCUUUAAACAUCUGUUGUAACCUUGCAAGCUUCGCUCCGUGCUAUUCAAAGGACGGACACGAAUGACAACCUGUGAAUACCAAACACUUUACUGAGGAUGCCUAUUGCACCAAUUUGUCCUUCUCUAUCAUAAAAGUUGAAGUGCUAGUUAUUAAAUUAUGCAACUAACAAAUGAAGGUGAAGCUCUAUCGUAUGAUGAGAAUCUCUAGAGAUAACAAAUUACCUGCACAUUAUGAUCCAUCCAAAAGGAGGGAUCCUCUUUAAGUUCAAAAUGUGGCACUUCAGGUGUAUUAACAACUAUUGGGGGCGCGGAAGAUAUAGGAAUCCCUUUUGAUGCCAUGGAGAAGCUCAUCAUCCGAUUACCCGCACCAAUUGGGGGUCGGGAGCCGCUGAAACCACUGUAUGUCGGCUUCGUUACGCUCUUGGUCGGCGUGCUCUGAGUGGAGCUGCAAUCCGAAUGGAUUGAAGACGCCUUCCCGGCCGUCCGAUACGUACGAGGUGUAUUUGUACCAUACACACGGCUCAGCGGGGGCAGCUGGUUGGGUCCUUGGUGACUAGGCUCAUCGCCAUUGUCAACACAAUUAGGCCCGAUCUCGCUCUUACCGGCCCAACCAAAGCGGUUUCUUGCAGCCGCUGACGGCUUUUCUGGUGUACGGAAGGUCGAAUGCGCAUCCGAACCCUUGAUCUGGUUCUUAGAAGGGGUUGUUGCAUCCCCUUUCCUGCGAAAAACCGUGCCUUGAUCCGAACCCAGCUUAGGGUUAGGGUUUUGCACUGGUUCCUGGAUUGUAUUCAACGGAGCCCUCGAGGGGUCCAAAUCCAGCACAGAACCGGAGGGCUCGGAGCUAUCGGCCGGAAUAUUCUCAUUAUUCCCCUCCGGUGGAGGAACAACCCCAUGAUUCCGACGGAAAAAUCUCAAAUCCCUCAACAUUCUGAAGCAAAAAGUCCCAAUAAAACGAACAAUAUUGAUCAAGAAUCAGUUCAAAUAGCUCGUAAAAUAAAAAAAAAAACCGCCAAAAUUACCUGAAAGAGGAAUUCGAGAACAGGAUCCCGAGCCCACGAAUCCUGAAUCCAAGGCUCCGAUUCGAUUUCUAGGGUUUAUAGGCGAGGGUAUUGGGUGGAUCUCAUCGGAUCUGGGGGAGGGGAGUAGAAAUCCUAUAAGAGAAGGGAUAGGAGAGGAGAGAGGAGAGAGGAGAAGGGUUUCUUUUGUGUCUCUCGCGCAAAUAAGGAAGUGUAAGCGAGAGGGGGUACUCGGAAUUUGAACUGGGUUGGAGGGGAAGAGGAGGAGGAGGAAAUGGACGGCUAUGAUUCGUCGAUGAUUUGAAAUUGAGGGUGCGGGGGAAUUGUCGUUUGAAUCUUGGGGGUAUUUUGGGGAAAACAUGGAAAUAUCAAAGAUGUAAGUAAAUAUGAUUCCGUUUUUAAAUGCGGAGGGGUGUGUGGUCCAACGGCUAGUUUGCAUUUGACUUCAUAUAGGCUUGGGAAAUAUGUUUGGGGAAUUUUUGGCAAACACCCGCUUUUUUUUUCUUUUUUUUUUUUUUGCAGAAAAUCGGAUAGAAAACAAAAUUAAUUUGACCAAUUUAGCCUGGGCCAGUUUUAUCUGGGUUGGGCUUAUUCGGCUCAGACUUCGGAUCCGAUCCAGGUCAAAGAAAACAUAGGUUUAAAAAAAUUCGAUUUGUGAUUCGAUAAAAAAAAAAAGAAAGAAAGUCUUUUAUUGAUCUUGUUGGGGAUUUUCUUACGCAAUUUGAUCCGAUCUAGUUUAGUCAUUUGGGAAUUAAAAUAACUAUGCAAGUUUUUUAACUCAAAUUGAAACAUGGUCACGUAAAAAUUGUUGCUCGCUUAGUAGCAAAUAAAUUUGUGGGGAAAUAUAAAGUACGUGGGUGGUCGUCAUAUUAAUUAGCAUGUCAAAAUUUAGGUUCGAUUAAAGCCAUGUUUUAUUUCUUGCGUAUCUAUAUUCAUUAAAUUCCAAUAAUCUCAUGCAUCAGUAUGACUGUAUACCGUGUUUCCAUCUAAAGAGUUAAUAUUUAAGAGAGAAAAAGAAAGUAAUUUCUUAAUUGAAAUAUGAGAUUAAAUAAAGAGACCCAUACAUAUAUAAUAAUAAUGUAAUUAAGACACACCCUCACAUAGCAUAUCCCAAAAGCAUGAUAAUUAAGACAUACUAUAUACAAAUAUAAUGUAAACAUGCUAUGCACUAGCAAAGUUUGUAGCCAACUCCAGAGACCAAACCAUAAUGUGCGACAUAUAUCAAACAUAAAAUGAGAAAUGCGGCCUUUAUUUAUGUCACAUAAGUUGGGCAACUCCCAUGCAUCAACUCCUCAUACUAGGAGUUGAAACAUAUUCGAGUAGUGACUAAUCAAACAACGUUCCUGAAAUGGUAAAUUUGGAUGUUCUCCACCUCCAGCUUCUUGAAGUUGCUAUCCUUCCUAGUCUUAAAGAACUCCCCCCAGUUGUACUCCCUGUAUUUCGCGGGAUUGCUCUCGUCGACCAGCUCUUCCAACGGCUUCACAUUGGUGUAACUCGCGGGGUUGAAGAAGAAAGGGAUGGAGAACCUAUCCUUCUCCGAGUUCACGGACACUCGAUGCUCGGCGCUCUCGUACCUAUCAUUGCUCCAAACCUAUCACAUUAUCAACAUCCAAAUGGUUAGUUAUUUAUUGACUCCUCACUAGAUAACAGAUAACAAGUAUGUGCUAUCACAGCGGAUUGAAUCAGGUCGAUGAGUCAGAUCGAGUCAAUUUAGAUCAGAAUAGUCGAGACUAUUCAGGUUUUAUAUAAAAAGUUCGUGUAGUUGGGUAUCUCUUAUUCUCUGAAGACAAGGAAUUAAAUGGUCAGGUAAAUCAUCUCCUUUCCUUUCCUUUCCUUUCCUUUCUAUCAAAUUUAACAAAUAGAAGGAUAAAUAAUUUUUCUCAGUGUAUAAUAUAUCAAACAAAACAAUCCAACAAGUUGCAUGGUUUGGGUCAUGUUCAGUUCAGGAUGACAUGUCACAGUGGCUUGUGCCAAAGGAAAUUUGAGCCAGGGACGGAUUGCCAAUCUCAAUCCUAGCUCCAAAUUUUGCAACAUAAUCCAACUAUUAGGAGCAAAUUGGAUUGCAUAGAUUCAGAUGAACACAAUCGGAGACGACCCUCCACAUGUUAGCUUAGCAUAGUUAGUACCUGAAUGAUAUCACCAACAUUGAUUAUGAAGGAGUUAGGAAUGGGCUUGACCCGGAUCCACUCGCCGUCAGACCUUCUUUUCACGUCGAGCCCACCGACCGCGUCUUGGUAGAGGAUGGUGAGGGCUCCGGCAUCCUUGUGGCGGCCGACGCCGAGGGCGAGGUCCGGGUACGGGCAGGGCGGGUAGUGGUUGAGCCGGAUGAAGCUAGUUUGAUCCGCGAAGAAGCCGUUUAGCCGCUUUUGCGGCAAGUUUAAGCUUAGUGCUAUGAGCUCCAGCAGCUUAAAGGCCAGUUUCUCCACUUCUUUGUUGUACUCCUCGAGCGCCUCUCUGUAUAAAAUGCGCCAUAAUUCAGAUAAAUUUUGUACAUACUAAAUGUUAGCGAAAUUUUCUUCUUCUUUUUUUAUUUCUUUUGUGAAUUACCUGAAUCCGAGAGGAUGCUGGGGCCACCUGUUCUUGAGCACCAGCGAUCCCCCGAACACCUUGGGGGUUUCCGCCGGCUCCGGCACGACGAAGUCGAACACCUCCUUCCAAUCCCUGACGUUCUUGGUGUGCUCCGACUCGUAGUAGCCCAGCGGGUUCGCCUCGCUCCUCCGCACGCGCCGCUUCUCCUCCGGCGCCGACGCGAAGAACGCCCGCUCCGCCGCCGCCGCGCGCUCCACCGCCUCGAUCGGCACCCCGUGGUUCACCACCUGGAAGAACCCCCACUCGCGGCACGCCGCCGCCACCUCCGCCACCACCGCCGCCGCCUCCGGCGAAGCUCCGGCGAGGUCGGAGGGGAUCGGAGAGCGGAGGAGCGGGGAGAGAUCGAUGACGGGGAUCCCCGAGGCGGCGGCGAUGCUCGAUUUGGGGCGGUGCUCGGGGGCCUGCACGAACGCCGGAUCCACCUCCACCAUUCUUGAAGCUUCUUCGAUCGCCCUCUUCUGCUUGUUCUUCGUCGAGAGAGAAGGAUGAUGAAUUAUUGAGGUGGGGGAGAGGGGUUAGGUGUUGAGGCGUAUUUGUAGUGGAAUUUCGGUGCAAUGAACUUGGACGCAUUCGCGGCAUUGGUUGGCUAACGUCGUCCGGUACGUCGUUGGUGGUUUAACUUUCGUUGUAACAUAUAUGUUGCAGCUGAUAAGGAUAGGGGGGCGAUUGUAUGGAAAUGAAUUAAUGACAUUGAUUUGAGCCAAUUUUGUGGGAUCAUUCAUUCAAAUUUAGUAAAAAUUUUAUAAAUCUAAAUAGUAAUUAUUCUUUCAACAGUAGCAAUUCCGCCCAUUUAUGCCGACGAGAGGGCAAAUUGUAAUUAGUAAAAAAUAAAUCUUACACUUUCUUAAAGAAAUUUUUGAGAAUCAGAAUCUUGGCAAUUUAUAUAUAUAUAUUUUUUCUCCCGAAAAAUAGUACUAAUUGAUCUAUUUUUGAUAGAUGUUAAUAUUUAUAACGUCCACAUUCUCUGAAUCUAUAUAUUAAUAUUAGAAUCAGCCUUAUUUAUAGUAGCCUCUAUUUUUUCCAAUUUUCAACAUCACCCAUGACGUAAAAUAAACUCUGAAGUGCUGCGCCACUGACUAUAUACACAAAAAUUUGUUAUAGAGAAAGCAUAACUCCUAUCCUACGAAUCUAAUUAAUUUAUUAAGAAUAUUCUGGAGAGCGUAAAAAAUUCAAUUUAGGACCACCUUCCGACAAUUUAGGCAAACUAUCGUACCAAAGAUGAUGACAUUCUAUUGAAGUAUUAUCAUUACCACGAAAUGAGUUCUCACCAAAUCCUAUCUAAAAUUGCGAACUUUAUUUAUACGAAAAUUCGUAUUAGAUUCUUCUGAUUCACAGAUAAGCACACGAGAGAGCGAAAUCUAAAAAGAAACUGAUUCAACAUGAAAAAGAAAAAAGAUGCAAAUUCGUUCAUAUUCGAGGAUUUGGUGUGUCCACGCGGGAAGGGGGGGGGGCGCUCACAUGCCUAUCUUGAACCUAGGCUAAAAACCGAUCGAAAGCUUAUGGAACUCCAAUUGAGCAUAUAUAAACAUACAUUCACAGAGGCAGUAAAGGUACACGACGACAGCGGCUCCGCACGCCAUUGAUCCUCUCCACCGUGUCUUAAGCAAAGAUGCGGCGGAAGGAUGUCUCCUCGUCUGGAUACAAAAGCUCUAUAAUGUUGCCUUCUCUGCAGGCUCUCUUGGAUAAGCAUCCUGCCGAUGUAAAGAGAAAAUGAUCAGCAUUCAUGUUGGUAGACAAAUUAAGGAGUCGAUCAUACUAUGGACGAGUCAAAACUGAUCCUGAAAACUAUAGAUCUCAACAUAUGAGCUGCAGAUGGUGUCCAGAACCACAAUUCCACAAAUAUUUAAGAGCAUGGUUUCGCCAAAACCAGCAUUUUCCGAUGGUAGCUAACCUACUAAGACAUUAAAUCAGUACCAGGGUGGCUUAAUCGCUUAAGCAUAUGGCGAUGUUCUUGUGAUCUUAGUUGGCAAAACAAAAGGAGCUAAAAUGGAAGGAAGAUAAUAGAACACAUGCCUUAUUGAUGCUACUAGCGCCUGGCGGUACGAGACUUGGGUCUGGACGAUUUCUGCAAUAUACCAAAUAGCGACGAGAUGUUAAGCAGGAAAAAGAAAGCACAAGGAACAUUUGAGGCUUGAUAACUUAAACAGCUUUUGCAGAAAACAGAAGCAAAAGUCUUUCGUUAAGAGUUAACUCAGGACAAAAAAAAGUACAGAUAAAACAUUGGGAUAAAAAUGAUGAUACUCACAGAUGCACCACCAAAGCUAGUCCCAGAACCAACUGCAACACCUAAAAUUAGAUGAAAUGAUGAGAAUUCAGGAGGCAGUUAAGAUAGACAACUUUCAGUCAAAAGUGCUUACCAAAGGAAAAAGAUGAAGUAGGAAAAUUUUCCAGUAAUCACAUUUGGUACACUUAGUUUCAGAGAAAGAGCUCAUGAUAUGAUUUUCAACAAUUCAAGCUAUUUUUGGCAAUCACAUCCAAAGCAAAAGUUCGCUCUUCAACUUCUAUGAGCUGAACAGAAGGACAACUUAAAUUGGCCGUAGCUAAAUAUCUUAAAGUGCUCUCCUUAAAUAAGUAAUCAGUUACUGUGCAUUUGGUUUGAGAAAAGCGCGAUUUCAGAUUGUCGACGUCAGGCUCCAAAAGCUUGAAAGGAGCAAAGUACGAUCUCCAACUUAAGAGGCUGAAAUAUAGUGAGACAACACUUGAGCACUUCCUAAGAUUGCAACAACCAAAAACACCCUUACUGUCCUUCUCUUGUUAUAAUUUAAUCUAUAGAAAGCUCUCACUCCUUUCUUUUUCCAUUUUUCGUCCAUUUCUAUGGUAGCUGAGAUGGUUUGAACAACUCUUCAAGCAUUAACUAACAUGAUCCUCCCAUUCAAAUGAAUUACGUGCAAAACCAAUGAAAUUGGAGAUGUUAAUGAAUUAGCAUACCUGCACCGAGUGAUGGUGUGGAGAAGAGUGAAGAGCCCCCUGCGGCAGGGGUCAAUGCAAAGGAUGGCGCACUAGCUCCAAAACCCGAUGGAGUGGAUCCAAAUGGUGUCGAUUGAGGUGAAAAUCCAGAAGAGGCAAAGAGUGUCGAAGAUGGGGCGGAAGCAGUUGGAGUCGAAAAGAGAAAGCUCGAAGAUGGAGCAGAAGAAGCUGGAGUGUUAAAAGUUGAAAACCCACUUCCCAAAGAUGCUGCAGAAGGGGCGGGAGAUGGCUGGAGUGCACUUGAUGAGGAGGUUGAUGUGUUCGAAGUGAUCCAAGCUGCUGAUUGGGGUGCUGGUGGCUGCGGAGAAGCUGUGGGUAAGUGAAGGGUUGGAUGAACUCUUCGUGCAGCAACUUCUUGCUUAGCUUGUUCCCUUCUACUGGCCUCAAUAAACGGGUCAUUCCCCUCGCCCCUACGGCGCUGGUUUGCAAGGUAUGCAGCCUUCAUAGAUUCAAUGUACUGGUGAAGGCUCUCUACCUGGGGUAAAAUCAAUUUUGAGACAAAAAAUUUGUGUCAUGUGAUAAAUCAUCAUACCAACCACGCAAUUUAUCAUGCUAAUGUCAUCACGCUGCAAUAAAAGUCAAGCAUAGAAACUCCUCUAGAAUACAAGUGAUGAAAUAAAGGGUAAAAUAGUUGGCAGGAUAUCAGGAAAAAGAAUGAAUGAAAAGGAGAAUAGACGAAGAAAGAUUGACAAAAGCCAUAGUACAGCAACGGUUACGCUGGUUAAAUACUUCUACAUAGAAACAUAAUUACGUGUCAUUUUGGUCUGGCUUCAGGAAAACUUCUACCCCGAAAAACAGCAACUUGGCAUUUGACAAAUAAAUGUCCUAAGCUUUUGCGAUUGAAGAAGCCGAAAUGAACUUCUGCAUCUCAAAAACAAAAGCCCAGUUUUGAGCUUCUGCUUAAGUUGCAACAUGAGGCUAUUGGGGGGAGUUCAACAAAAACUCCAAACAAGCCAGACAGGCCCUUUGGAGGACUUCUGUUUGCAUCAUCUGAUGCGCAUCUACAAGCACAAGAUUCAUGUAUGGAAGAUUUGCGAUUAGCAAUAUGGUGAAAAGUAAUGUUGCCACACCUUGGAUGCAACAUAGAUGAAAUAAUCAUGCAAAUUCGACAUAACUUUUGGCAAAGCUUCUAAAGAGUUUGCAGAUUUUCUAUUAACGUCCAUCUGAACAAGCUGCUCUAAUUCUUCAAUCCACUUGCAACACUCUCCGAGGUACUUCUCGAACCUGGCAACUGUAUGCUGCAUGAAGGGAGAUGGCCUUUUGGGUACCCCACUAUAGAAAUCAUAAGUGGGCCCCACGGCCAUUUGCUGAUUGGUUUGACCAGAAGUAUUUGUUCCAAUUGGAUUAGUUGCAGAGCCAGCAGCUGCAGGAGUAGCAACAUAUGGACGAAUAAAUCUAGGUCUCAGCAUCAUGUAUGAACGAAUGGCGAAUUCCGUUUUCCACAUCAAAUCAUUAACAACAUUCAUAAGUUCUUGAAUUGAAGCUCUCUCCCUUUCCAUUGCAGUGGUGAUUCCGCCAAGUUCCUAAAUGUGGCAUACAUAUUCUAUAUAUCAUCAGUUCAACACAAUAAAGUAAAAAGAAGUUUGAUGAUGACUAAGGUAAGAUGAUGGCUGGUUUCACAAACUGCACAAGUUCUUUUCACAAAAAAAUAGAAGAAUAACAGAUGAAUGCUGAAGGAGUACGAAAUGCAUAGUUUCUCAUAUAAAGAGGGCUAUGUUCAAAAGUGAAAUAUCCAACAAAGAGAAGGAGAAGGAUAAGCAGCGCAAGGAAAGCAAUAUAUCCUAUCAGCACAAAAGUUUUUUUUUUAAAGAAAAAAUGUGCCACCCUAAAGAGACAAUCACUACUGCUUGCAUUACUUGCCACUGUACGUUGGCAGGAACACACUCAUGACAGUAUAAGACACUAAUAAGGCACUUAAUGCUUUUAUUGAACUUACUAAUUAACUAUACCUACCAAAUCAUAGAUUUAAUACAGAAGUGUGUGUGAAAUCAUCUGGUAGUGAUAAACAUGCCUUUAACAGACUCACAUCACCACAUAUUGCUCCAGCAUGUGGUCGAUACCAUCCAUCAACAUUGGGUUUGAAAUAGCUAUAUUGAUGAUUUGACUCCAUAUUCAAACCGCCAGAGAAAGAAGUACUUAAAAAAUGUACUAACAUUUUAUCAGCUCUAUCAUGGCAACAUUGCUAUUGAUCUUUCCUGUAUUGUCUCACAGUUACCACUGCUAUUAAAAGUAACAAAUCCGUUUACCGUCGUAUUUCAUAACAAAAGCAACUUUGCAGAAGGGUACCAACAACAGAAAAGUGGAAAAAGAAGGAUCAAAAGAACAAAACCUGAAAAGAAGCACAAUACAAGAAAUCAGAAAGAGAAUUGACAUAGAAAUAGUCAUAGACAUACCUGAACAAUUCGACCAGCAUCGUGCUCAAAACUGUCAUUAUAGACCGAAGAAUCAUAAAGGCGGCUACACUGAUCCAAUCUCUCGCUUUCAUCCCUGUAUUCCCGUAUUCUCUCUCUACAAUUUCAGGUUUUAUACUCAGCUAUCAGCAUUUCAUGGUUUGAACAUGGAUAAGCCCACAACAGUUUGUAAUUUGAAUUAUCCACUAACUAGCUAUAAAGAAGCAUAGAUUGGAGGAAACAACUAUGUGAGCAUUUAAAUCACAACAAUCCCAUAAGUGCUGUUAUCUUUGACGGUUCGUUAUACCCAGAAGAUCCCAAUGCAUAAAAAAAUAAGAAUAAAGAAGAAAAUAACAAGGCCUUCCAUUUUCAACAUAGCAGUUAGGAGAUAACAAAGAAAACAAAAGGAAAGAAAAUGAACUACCAACCAAUGUAAUGAUUCAAGAAGCAUAAAAAUCAAAACUUUCUGAUAGAACAAACAAAAGUAAAGUACACAAUGGAAAACUAGUUCUGUAAAAGUACCGAGAACACUAAUUUAAGGUGAAAAUUCCAAAAAUAACGCUCAAUUGGAAACAACGCGGUAUGAUACACUCAGGCCAAUAUUCACAAGCACCAACUUUCAAUAAGAACCCAAAACAGAAGAAUGGCAAAGAACUCAUCUUUAAAGCAAAGCCCAUAAACCCAGAACAGAAUAAUAGCAAAGAACUCAUCUUUUAAGCAAAACCCAUUGACCCCAUACAGAAAAAUGGCCAAAAAAAAGGCUUAUUUUUAAAGCAAAACACUAAACCUAACUUCAAGGGAACACCAAAUGAAGGUGAUCAGGAUCAAAAUCAAAAGAACUACGUACUCAAUCUGAAGGAGAACCUUCUGGGAGUCGGGGUGGAGAUCCUCCCACUUCGUGUUGUACCCCGCGGGCGCCCGAUCGUUCGUGUAGAGAAGCAAUUGCUGCUGCGGCUGCUGCUGCUGCUGCUGCUGCGGCUGGAACUGGAACUGCGUUUGCGGCUGCGGCUGCGGCUGCGGCUGCGGCUGGAACUGGAACUGCGGCUGUGGCUGCGGCUGGAACUGGAACUGCGUUUGCGGCUGCGUUUGGCCAAAGGAAGGGAACGGCGACCCCAGUUGCGGGCUCUGGAACGCGGCCAUCUCCGACGAAGGGGGCGCCCGCGCGGCUAUAGGUUCAAUUUUGCGUCUGGGAAAUCCGCGUUGGUCCUGCGUUUGCGUUCGCUUUCGCGUUUGCGUUCGCGUCUCGGGCUGGGGUUGGGGUCGUAAUUCCCCCGCUGUUAACGUGGACUCCUCCAUCGAGAAACCCUAAAAAGGUUCAAAAUCGAAGCUCGGGGGCGGGGAUCUGUGAAUAGACGGAAAUGCCCUCGGACAUUCGAGAAACUCUUCGAGGAGGACGGAGAGGGUGUUCGCGGAUCCGUGAGCAAUGUCGGGGGUGUUUUCGUCUUUCCGUUCUCAACGGCCGAGGAUGCGUCCAGGGAGUGGUUUUAAACUCGGGCCCACCACUCUUGGGCCUUUAAUUGGGCCGCAUAUGAGCCCAUUUAGUUUGGGCAAUAGGAGUUUGGGCCAAAAAUUAUAUAAGCCCAAUCCAACAAGGUGAGACCACUAACGUUUUAACCUUCCAAUUUUGUAAGGUAGGGGGACACUCAGAAUAUGGGCCAGAUCCAUCUCUUUACAAUGGAUUCCUAUUUAGAUAAAAUUCAUGAAAAUUUCAUUUGGUAUAUUUGUUUACAUAUUUUUUAAUUUAUUUACAAAUUUUGCAGUAGUUGAUAGAUAUAAAAAAAUAUGAUUAAACGUGGAAAAUGGUAUACCACAUUUGACCCUCUAAGUCAAUUUUUUUUAAAAAAAAAUCUCGUGGGUAAUAUAUAAUGUCUCACCAGAUCAAAUCACACUGUAUGGAUGGGGAGUUCACAUUCGAGAAAGUGAUUUAGGUGAUUGUUUUUGUUCAAGUUUUUUUUCGAUUUUUUUCUUUGUUAUGUAUGAACUUUUGAGCUUAAUUUUUAAUGGUUAGAUGUUUAGAUUUGAGGAUUGUUAAAAAUAUUUUUUCCUUUUCUCUCUUGUUUUUAUUUAUUUUUUUUCGGUUCAGGGAUUUUUUGGAUUUUAUUUUCUUGGUUUCCCUGCUUGUAACAGAGAGGAGAUUUGAAAAUCGAAUCUUCGCGUGCACCGGGUGCACAAGAUCACCCUUCUCAAGCAUCGCUCUAGGCCUCCAUCCAAUCACACAGUGAAAAGGUCGGAUCAACGGCUAGAUGAGCACGGUUCACGGAAUGACGUGGUGCACCACUUCCACCAAAAUACUACCAGAUGCGUCCUCUUCCUUCUUUUUCCUGCGUACCUGCCCAUGCUUUCCAUGCAUUACCUGCACCUUCCAUUUUGGUGCAUAAUAAUUCGUCCCACACGAAAACCCUAAAAACACAUUACCCUUUUGCUAGCAUGUGACUACAGUAUUAGAAAAUGGAAAGAAAAACAGAGCUUUGAGUGCAAAUACCAACUUCUUCAUAAACGUACAUCCAUUUAUAUUAAAGCUUUUUUUUUGUUCUUCUCCUACCUACCCUCAUAACACUCUCUCUCUCUCUCUCUCUCUCUCUCUCUCUCUCUCUCUCUCUCAGGGGUUUGAAGUGAAAACCAUUUGGUAUUAUGAGAUAUGUUUUGUAAUAUCACUUUCUCUCUCUCUCUUCUUUUCACCAUACUUAAUGUGCAUGGUUUCUUGCUCUAGAAGCAUAGCAAGCCUUUUGAAGUUGUGGACUUAAUUUGUUUUUCCUGUCCUUGAUUUCGUUUUUAUUUUUUUUAAGAUCCUUCUUAUUUUCUUACUAGGUGUGGUUUUAAUUCCAAAUGAAGAAGAUUUCAGAUAAGAGUUGUAAAGAGUGCGAAAAGUGGGAGGAACAUUUCUAUUGGAAUCAUUUGGAUGAGCACAAGAUGCAUUUUUUUAAGGUCAUGGUUGAGGAUUUCACAAAAUGCAUGGUAAGAAAACUCUCCUCAUAUAUAACCAUAAAUAAGAUGCAUUACUUUGUUACUUAGUAAUUAAUCAGAGUCAUUUGCAUCUCCUGUAUGGUUCCUAAAUCUAUAUCAUGUUCUUUCAAAUUUUGAAACUCCACAAAAAAUUCACAGCUAGGACCAUGAUCAUGAUCGGCUUUGAAAAGAAAUUGGAAUUUUUAGUAUAAUAUUCUUGUUUAUAUUUUCAGCAGUAAUAAUUAUUAUGAAAAGAAAAAUAUGUUGAGUUACUAGAUACUAAUUAGUACUACUGAAUUAUACUGGUGUUUACUUUACAAAUCUUAUUAGAGCAUGCCAAAGAAGUUUGUGGAUAAUUUCAAUGGGCAAAUAUCCAAUGUUGUUGAUCUAAAGACUCCUAGUGGCGACAUAUGGAAAAUUGGAGUGACCAAGUCUCAGGAUAACAUAAUUCUCCAAUCCGGCUGGACGGAGUUCAUCGCCGCUCAUCGGAUAGAGAAGAAUGAUCUUCUGUUUUUUACGUGCAACGGAAAUUCUUCCUUUGAAGUCGCAAUCUGCGACGACAGUGGUUGUGAGAAAGCCUCUCCUUUUUUCGCGAAGAAGGAUGCCCGCAAAACCGGAGAAGGGGACGGUGCAACUCCUGCGCAGACAAGAAAUGAAGGGAAUCGGCGCCGCAAGGUGAUCGAGCUCUGUUCUUCGGGCAGUUCCAGUGAGAAUGACGUCGCACCGAAGAUCUCUCGCAAGACAUUAUGUGCUAACAGCAAGACGGCAAAUCGAAUCGACUGUGAUGUCUCGAGCCAUGGUGGGGCAAUCUCAGGAACAAAUGAGAAGCACAAAGUCCCUUCAAAGAGGCCCAGGGGCAGGCCUAGUAUGUUCCUCUAAACUUUUAGAAAUAAAAUCAGUCUAAUUGUUCUGUGAUUUACGAGUAUUGUUAUCAGAAUUUAAUCUUAUGCUAGACUAUAUAUCUAUCAGAAUGUUAUGUUGCUAGGUGAAAAGCAUGCUAGGUUCAUAUAUCACAAUUUUGCAGUUUCAGUGACAGAUUUCAGAAAUGGCUGUAGUUAUCUUUUAGUGAUCAUAUUUGCCUGAAUUAUUCGAAAAAGGGCUCUGGCAUGCUACUGUGCAGUUGUGUAGAAAUUUUUGAGUCACAUUAAUGUUGAGUCAAUAAGAUCAUUUAGAUGCAUAUUAAUUUCUUGGUAAGAUUCAUACAUUGGAUCAGACACGUAUGAUUGCGAUUCUGCAACUCAAUUAUGAUGAACUUGAUAACUUGAUGAAAAAAGAAACGGUUCAGGAAAAUAUAUCGAGUCUUCGAAAUGGCUGUAGUUAUCUUUUAGUGAUCAUAUUUGCCUGAAUUAUUCGAAAAAGGGCUCUGACAUGCUACUGUGCAGUUGUGUAGAAAUUUUUGAGUCACAUUAAUGUUGAGUCAAUAAGAUCAUUUAGAUGCAUAUUAAUUUCUUGGUAAGAUUCAUAUAUUGGAUCAAACACGUAUAAUUGCGAAUCUGCAACUCAAUUACGAUGAACUUGAUAAACUUGAUGGAAAAAAAAUGGUUCAGGAAAAUAUAUUGAGUCUUCGAAAGGCGUCGAACAUGUUGUAAAGAGUGAGUCCCAAGAGUCGUGCAAGUGCAAGGAAGAGACGCCCGGCAGUGCUCCCUAUUACUCGUCUAGGAGUCUGCAGUUAACACCGUCGCAAGACAAAAAAGUGUCGAAGUUGGCCCUUGCCCUCCUCCCAAAUCCUUCUUUUGCAUCAGUCAUGUAUCCGAGCAACGCCGCCAUCAAGAACUGCUUUCUGGUAAGUCCAACAUUCCUAGCUAUUCUUUUUGGCAAUUGCUUCUGUACUGUUUCAUUAAUCUUCUACGAAAGAUAAAAUUGUAACAUUUAAAUGCCUAGUAAAGGUUGUAGGAUUCACAACCUGCUAUGUUCCAACCAUGUAUGCUAGUGAUUAUUAUAUAUGUGAUGUCUCAUACUAGAUUCUCUGUUUUUUUUUUCAAAAGAACAUUCCAAAGUGCUUUGCUAAGGCACACCUGCCGCGAAGAAGCGAGCGGAUCAUCCUCAAGAUUCCAAACAAGAGAGAGACGUGGACGUGUUCGUAUAUUUUCGCGACAAGAUUGCAAGGCAUCUACGGAGGUUGGAGCGAUUUCGUGCACGACAACAAUUUGCGCAAGGGAGAUACUUGCCUCUUCGAACAAAUGAAGGGCAUGAAAACGCUAACACUCACCGUUCACAUCAUCUGAAUGAUUUGGCUUCUUUCUGUUUUUUUUUCGGAGAAUGACUCUGCUAGUAUUAAUUAUGUGUCUUAAAACUUGAUUAAAGACAAGGACAUGGUUUAUGUGCAUGUUUGAUAUUUAAGUGGAUUCUCUCAGGCUUGUAGCAGCUGCUACUGUUUUGUUAUACGUAUGAAAAACAUAUUGUUGGUUUUAGUUGUGGUACAAUUAAGUAUGUGUAAUCAGUUUUACUUGUUAUAUACGGUUUGCAUAAUACGAUGUUAACUGUACGGAAUCCUGAAAUAUCGUACAAUGUUUAAAUUUUUAUGUUUGUUUUGUUAAGUAAUUCUAUGAUAUAAAUCAACAAAAAAAUAUUUCAUACUUUAUAUAUCUUUACACGAAAUUCAAAGACUCGAUCUCAAUCACUUACAGCUUCUUCAACGGAAAGAAAAACACAUGAAUGAGAAUAUAGGAGGUGACAAAACAAACUAUCUCACAUUCAUGUUCAUCUUAUCUUAUAAUUAAUAAAUGAAAAAAAAAGAAUUGCUAAACUUUUCAAAGAGCUAAAAUAAAUAAUAAACAUUUUCCCCAAACAGGCCAAGGGCCAAAAGGCCCAACACUCUCGAGUAACAUUGCCGUACGGGUCCGUACAGCUCUCCGCGAAUCUUCGCCAUUAAUUAGACCGUACGACUGCGCCCAUAUCUUUUUCUCUCUGCGGACGCCACGUGAUUUUUAUCUCACUUUUUUUAACCCCCAACUUUCCCUCGCACGCUCCUGGUGAAGUUGUUCCACUCUGGUUCUUUUUUUCUACUCUACUAAGGACAAAAACAGAAAAAAGGUACAAAGUGUAGAUGCAUUAAUUGUUGAGGUACCUGCUGGGAAUUUAAAAUUCGUAAAAAUACAUGUACAUUAACUUUUGUUGAUAAUAUUGUUGAAUAUAAAAUAUAAAUAUUUUCUUCUUUGUUAGCUUAAAGUGAGUGGGCAAAAAAAAAAAAAAAAAAAAAAAAAAAAAAGGUUGUUUCACCUAAUUUAACUAUUCAAAAAUUUUGAGUCCAAGCCUAAAAAGAAUGUUGAAAAUUUGACACCACAGUAUCUUUGCAUGGUAGUUUAAUCUACAAAAAAAAAUUAUUUUAUAUAAUUUAACAGAUUUUGUUAAAUUUAAUAUUUUAAUUUUUUAGCAAUAAAAUCUAGAUUGAUCAGCUACUGAUAACUGAUUUUUAUAAAAUAUAACAAUAGAAAAAUUUUUUAAAAAUGAAUUUAAGAUGUUUGUUAUCUAAUAUUCUGAUUUAUUUAAUGCAGCAUCAUUUUUUUAGAUAUUUACAUCAAUAGCUUUUUAAGUGAUAAUUUGAGAGAAAAUUUCUAUGAAUUGUAAUUGCAACAUUUCAUUCAUUUUGAUGAAUAGAUUUUUUUUUUUUAACUCGUAACAAAAGGUUGAAUUUUUAUUAAAGGUGAGGAAUGGUGCUUUAACAUGAUAAAAGAAAAAAGUUUAGGGACCAGCUCGCAAUAUUGGGGCAGUACAUGGUCCGUACGUUUUGCAGUUAAACUGCACUCUUUACUCCUCUUUCUCAGGAGAACAAAAAUGGUAACCAUUUCAGUGGUCCCCAAAAAGUUGGAUUGACACCAUGCAAAAUAAAAUAAAAAUGUACACAAUGGACUAUUUUAAUUUUAUUAUUUAUUUUUUAAAAAAUAAAAAUAUUGAAGUUAAAAUAUUAUUGAUUUAAGUAUUCAAACAAAAUGAAAGCUUGAACAAUAAAAUCUAAAAUUUGAAAUGUUUGGUAGUUGAUUAAAAAUAAUCUAUAAAUUUGUAUAUUUUAUCUUUCUUUUUUUUUAAAAAAAAAUCCUCCAUUUAUUCUCACUUACCAACCACCCGUUACUCCCCCCCUCUUUGCCACCCUAUAAAAAAGGGAAAAAGGAGAAGCUACAGAGUAGUCUCUCUCUUUGUGAUUUUUUACACAAUAGCUCUCUCUCUCUCUCUCUCUCUCUCUCUCUGAUUUUUUACACAACAAUGGCUUUUAACUACAAGAAUACCCAGUUAAGAUCAUGCUUUGCUUUGUUCAUACAGUGAUGUUUUAUUUUUUUUCUUGUUGUAAUAAAAUGUUUUAUAUAUCUAUACAUUAAUUACACUUGUUUUUUUUUUCUUAGGAGGGGGACUUCGAUGUUCCAGAUGUUUGAGGGCUUUGAGAGCUGCAGAGAAUGCAGGGAGUGGAAGGAGCAUUUCUACUGGAACCAUCUGGACAAGCAGAGGACACGUUUUUACACGCGUAUGGUUGGAGAUUUCACACAACGCAUGGUAAAAAUCCUCUGCUUAACCAACAUGCUUUUUAGAGAAGUCCUAGCUAGUUUUGUUAAUUAGCAUUUUGAGUGUUUCCUUUUAUAGCUUCUGAUUAUAUUUAUACAUGCCAUAGAGAUUUUUUAGUUUCAACUAUAACCCAACAAAAGUGUCGAAAAAAUGGCAAGCAAAACCAACUACAACUUUCUUAUUAUAGUUGAA